rnacentral:rRNA from 1 species
UACGGGGGGGGCAAGCGUUGUUCGGAAUUACUGGGCGUAAAGGGCUCGUAGGCGGCCAACUAAGUCCGACGUGAAAUCCCCAGGCUUAACCUGGGAACUGCGUCGGAUACUGGAUGGCUUGAAUCCGGGAGAGGGAUGCGGAAUUCCUGGUGUAGCGGUGAAAUGCGCAGAUAUCAGGAAGAAUAUCCGUGGCGAAGGCGGCUCUCUGGUACGGCACUGACGCUGAGACGCGAAAGCGUGGGGAGCGAACAGGAU